rfam:Schistosoma rodhaini strain Burundi genome assembly, scaffold: SROB_scaffold0014161
GCACUGCUGAGGAGUUCCACAAUAGCACGGAACGGCCGUCCAGUGC